GCCUUCGUGGUGUAACGGUAGCACACUCGGCGCAUAUUCGAUAGGUUCAGGUUCGAGUCCCGGAGAGGGCA
rnacentral:tRNA from 1 species